GACGAACGCUGGCGGCGUGCUUAACACAUGCAAGUCGAACGGAAAGGCCCUGCUUUUGUGGGGUGCUCGAGUGGCGAACGGGUGAGUAACACGUGAGUAACCUGCCCUUGACUUUGGGAUAACUUCAGGAAACUGGGGCUAAUACCGGAUAGGAGCUCCUGCUGCAUGGGGGGGGUUGGAAAGUUUCGGCGGUGGGGGAUGGACUCGCGGCUUAUCAGCUUGUUGGUGGGGUAGUGGCUUACCAAGGCUUUGACGGGUAGCCGGCCUGGGAGGGUGACCGGCCACAUUGGGACUGAGAUACGGCCCAGACUCCUACGGGAGGCAGCAGGGGGGAAUAUUGCACAGUGGGCGGAAGCCUGAUGCAGCAACGCCGCGUGCGGGAUGACGGCCUUCGGGUUGUAAACCGCUUUCGCCUGUGACGAAGCGUGAGUGACGGUAAUGGGUAAAGAAGCACCGGCUAACUACGUG
rnacentral:rRNA from 1 species